rfam:Myotis lucifugus cont2.33439, whole genome shotgun sequence.
GCCAAUUUGGCUCAGUGGAUAGAGCGUUGGCCUGUGGACCAAAGGGUCUCGGGUUCGAUUCCCGUUAAGGGCA